UGCCUGACUCCUUUCGCCCAGACGCCCAGCCCCACAGCCGCCGCAGCACUCCGCCCCCAUCCUCCUGUCCUCCACCAUGAGCGCCUCCUCCUCCGCCUCCCCGCCGCGGCCUCUUCCUUCCUUGGCCGGCAGCCACUGCAUCUCCUCACCGUGGGGAGUGACAGUAGCGGCAGGGAGCCUCCCAUCCCCUCGAGCCGCCGGUGCCGGAUCCCGCUUCCGCCGUCCCCUUCGCGCAGUACUCCGCGCCCGCCGGCCAACUACAUGUGCAUCACCCUGGUAAGUCCCAGCCCAUGCUCUGUUCUUAUUCUCCGGCGAGAUUUUCUCAGCUAUGUUUCUUCUCCGGCUUGAGGGAGUGGAUUUCCAUCACUGGAUUCUUGGAUAAAACGAGGAGAUGCAAGAUAGUCCACAACCGCAUGGGCCAAACCUACAGGCUAUAGCUGGAUUGGCCUUGUUAAGUGAUAAUAUAUUAAGAUCUGGAACAUUGUGGAGCAACGAGUGACAAAAGUAUUAGAUGAGAUCUGGAACAAUGCAGCUAACUCUUGGUUGACUGGACUUAUGAGGCGCAAGAUGAGUUCGUCCUAUGCUAGAAGGUGUGUGGGAUAUAGGAGAUACAAGGAGAGAUAUUUCAGUUGCAAUCCAGCUUUAUUUCAUUGUGAAACAUGAGAGAGCUACAUGGAGGUUUCACUGAGGGAGAUGGGGUUGAUGGAGAAGAAGAGGAAACAGAGGCGGGUGUUCUUGCGGCGCUCGGCUGGUUCCAAGACCGUGAGGGGAAGGACUUCAUGCCUCUGGAGGUGAAAGAGCAGAGGAUUCGGGAGAAGAAGCAACCAGAGGAGCCGGAGAACACGGCCCCUGUCCUGUAUAUCUGCCACAUCCCCCAUGCUUCUAUGAGUACCAGAUGCAAGGUUUCUCAGUAGCUUGGGGCUAUUAAGAAGAUGGUCUGUUGAACCUACUGGACAGAACAAAGUCGAGGGAAGAAGUAUGCGAGUCAAGUAUCCGUGAUGACCAACUGAUGAAAAUCACAUUUGAGUGGCCCAGUCGUUUGAUCUGCUCCAACACUACCGUUCCGGCUUUCAGAUUGAGUAACCUGUACCCACGUCUACUGCAAACCUACUAGACAGAAUAAAAUCGAGGGAAUAAGUAUAUAAACUCUUUAGUUAAUCAAGAUGAAUAGAUUUGCCUAUCCGCAGACAGCUCUGAAUCAGUUUUUACCCUUUCUUUUCUAGAAAGAUAAGAACAAUACCCAGUACGAUCCUCUUCUUCUGUACCAGCUUCACUGAGGAGCCAAUUAGUACAAAAAUAUCUUUUGAAUUUCAUUGUUUUGGUCAUGAUGCCAUCAUACCGCAUGCAUGGUGCUUAUGCAACUAUAAGUCUAUAACUACAGAAAUGUACCUUUCUUUGCCUACAGCUAAAUAUGACCCGUCUUAGAUGGUUUGGAAGAACUAAUAUAUGUACUCUCCCUUUUGCCUACUUUUGGGUAUGAAUAGUUCAACUGAUUUUUGGUGAUUCAGAUUAUAGUAUCCAGCUUUCCUGGCUCUAUUUUGUGCAUCUAAAUUUUUUGUGUGCAAAAAUGUUCCUGAAAAGACAUGAGUUGUAUAGUUCAGCAUCCUGCUUUGUGGUAGGUUGAUAAUAUUCCAUUUUUAUGAUUACCCUGCUUUAGAUUAUUCUUGUGUGCCUUGUGCAGCCUUUCCAUUCUAGGCAUCAUUUCUCAAUUGUUUGGGGUCCAAUUCUACAAAUGCUUGGAUGUGUUGGUUCGGCCUUCUGUUAAUCUCCAGAUGAUAGGUGAGGCAGGCAAGUUAAUUCUCUGGUUUCUCAUGAUACUUCUAAAAUCUAUUGCAUAGUAGGAUACGUGCCUGAAAUGUGUGCACACUUACAAUUUCGGUUGUUGUGGAGUUAAAUUAUAAAUUGAUUUGACACGAUAGAUAUAUAUAGAAAAAGCUUUCAACCAAGCAGACUAUUCUUUUAGUAUAUAAAUAGUAUGGCUAUAUACACUGAGUGCAAAAGCUAUUUGUUUGCCACUUAAGCUUAUAUAUUUUCUUUAGCUAUCGUCCUUUGACAUUUUCUUUAUGCAAUGGUUGGUUGAUCAAGCCGAGGACUUCCCUGCGGUGCUUGGUUGGACCAUGUUUCAUUCAGCUAAUAAAAUAGUAUAUAUGUGUGUGUGAUUGCUUCAUCAAUUUUCAGAAACAUUUGUUGCCCAGUAGCUUCCAAAUAGCAGUUUAGCUUUCUUUGUUGCACCUAUAUACUUGCACCUUACAACAACCAUCAUGUUCGCAAAUCGUCUCUAUGAAUGUCCUUUCUUUACUCAUUUAGGACUUAUGAGUUGAUUAAUAUGUCACUCUCAAUAAAGUGUUUUCUUUAAAUGAGGAAUGACAUAUAUAAUUGGUUCUAUUAUAGUAGCUAGCAUUCAUCUUUUCCAAAUAAAUUGUACUGCCUUUUGCUUUAUCUCUUGGUAUAUUUUUCAUUGCUAACAAUUGAUCUGUAGAGAUGCUAUUCUGUCAAGAUUUUCUGCUAUCAAAUAAUUCAUGGCCAGCUACAAUGUUUACCCUUUUAUGUAACUAUUGAGACCCUCUCAGCUGUGCGAUAUAAUCUCAGCUCUCAGGCGCUAGAUUAUGAAUAACUAAGCCUUUCAAGGAUGUUGCUUGAAGAUGGAGGGAUCUUUCCCUACAAGUUUGUUCUUUUUGUUGUUACAGCAAAGACUACUUCCUGGGUUGUUGAGGUGAGUUGUAUGAUGUAAGCACUUAUGGAGGAGAAAAAAUUACUUAGAAUUUGACUUCUCCUGCAUUUAUAGGCUAAUCAAGUGACCUUUUGUCAACUUUUAUGCAAUCUGGCUCUCCAAAUUUUGUGCUUGCUCUGAACUCUCAAAAUUUGUGCUUUGCUGUCCUGUGUUGAUUAGUCAAAUCCUGGUUUUGUCUUAAAGACUAUACCCAGCCAUGUCCUAGGUUUUUCAUUUUGUAUGAAUUUCAUGUUUCCCUGGAAUAUGAGAAUACACCAACUGGAAGAACUGUUGAGCAACACAUUUUCAUGGGAUUUUAUAUGUUGUGAUGUCUGAUUUUUGUCUCUCUUCCAGUUUACAUAGAGAAGCCUCGGUAAGUACUCAAGAAUUUUGUUUUCGUCUAUAUUGACAGACUUUAGGUAUUUUUUUAGAAUGAUUCUGAAACGAGGUCACUCCUACUGAUCUUGCUCUUCGUGUCCGGUGGCAGGAUGCUAGGUCAAGAAUGCAGGGUGGACGAAAGAAAAUUGUGAAUGCUUUUAUCUCCGUGGUCAUUUGGAGCAUAUGGAGGGACAAGAUAGCGGGCUUUAAUAGUGUCUUCGCGCUGCUCCAGAGAGUCAUCGAUCCUGAUACUAGGCAGUAGGCUGGUGUGAGCUUGGGUCAUUUGAUCAUCCCCGAUUGUGUAAAGACUCCUCUGGAAUAUAUGCAAUCCUAUUGCAUGGUUUAAAAAAGAAUGAUUCUGAAACGGGUGUAAAGCAGUGUACGUGCUUGGCCACAGCUAAACCUACUAAUAUAUGGAAUUUUUUUCAAA